rnacentral:rRNA from 1 species
AUGCGGCACUACCGUAACCUGCACCCUGCAAAAAAAUUGCAAGUUCAGAAUCAAAUAAACAAGAAGUUCAAAAAGAACAGAGGGACAACCAUGCUGAUGGCGAUCGAAGAAGGAUGCAGAAAUAUUACUAUUGAGACUGAAGGCCAAGUUUUAUGCACGAUGUGGCAGGAUCCCAGGGAUUGUUCUGAGGCGGUCGAUGGCUUUCCAGAGAUGUGUUCGUACUCACAAGUUUGCAGGGGUUCAAAGAUCAGUUAUACAAGCAGGAAUGCCAAUUUGGUUACAUAUCUGUGUGCGAAAGAGGCACUGAAACUAGAUGUACUUGCUAUUUCUUUAUUUGUAACCCCUACCUACCUGAUUGAGAUGUGUUACAGCAGUUUGGAGUGUAUUUAUUUGGAAAGAAAAAGAACAACGGCACCUGCACCGGAGCAGCAGGACGACGCGCCCUCCCAGCGACGGCGCAGCAGCGCAUUCGCCGUCUAUGCACAUGUGUGUGUGCAGUGCACUUGA